CAGCAGCCGCGGGAAUACGGAGGGAGCUAGCGUUGUUCGGAAUUACUGGGCGUAAAGCGCACGUAGGCGGUUAUUUAAGUCAGAGGUGAAAGCCCAGUGCUCAACACUGGAACUGCCUUUGAGACUGGAUAACUUGAAUCCAGGAGAGGUGAGUGGAAUUCCGAGUGUAGAGGUGAAAUUCGUAGAUAUUCGGAAGAACACCAGUGGCGAAGGCGGCUCACUGGACUGGUAUUGACGCUGAGGUGCGAAAGCGUGGGGAGCAAACAGGAUUAGAUACCCCGGUAGUCCCUGUCUCUUAUAC
rnacentral:rRNA from 1 species